AGGGGUUAAAAAAACUGUCCAAUUUUCUGGCAGCGAUGCCAGGUGAAAUUUUAGGCGUCUGCGUAUUAUAAAUGGUCCUAUGCGACCUCAAUAUUUAGAAGUAUGACGAAAAAACCGAACGAAAACCCUACAGUAAUAGCAAAAGUCAUUAAAAUGGACGAUUGUUUAUAAAAAUUUCGAAAAUCUGCAAAAAAGUCGGCUUAAUUGCAAAGUCUGCUAACAAACGAAAUUGCAAAUUUACAUACCAAUCUGCAAACCUGGCAUCAGUGGUUCUGACGCUCAUUAUUUCGCAAUCCUGCGACGAUUCCGUCGCAUUCUAUGUCAAGCUGAAAACCACUAUACCAAUUGUCAAUAAACGGAUGUACUUUGUUAUUGUCACAUAAAGUUACAAUACAGCAGACAAUUUCGUAACACAUUUGAAAAAAAAAUGUAUAUUGUAACUUAUAUUGUGCAAUUUGGAAGGUCUUGCAGAAACAACAUCAAGCGAUUGAUGAAAACGACGAACAUCAUCCGAUUCCCGGAUUCAAAUCGCUCGAAUCCGACGAAAAAAAUAACAAUAUAUGGCAGGAAAAACUUCACCGAACAGAGCCUGGGAUCAACAGUUGCAACCAAGCAAUGCUGCUCCGUGUCUACGUUGAUAAUCAAUAUUUCACCAGGCUCAUCAUCAUUUGAUUUGAUGCAAAGAUAAAAUAGAAUUCAAUCAGACCCUGUCAGCUUGGACCGAAAUCAAUCUUCAGUUCAACAACGCCAUCGCACGGCAUCACAUUCAACAUAUCAUGUCAGUUGUAUGGGUGCGCAGCCCUGCUAUUUUGGCGCGCACGAAUUUGACAUUUCUCUCCCCUACUUCUAAGUAUGAGAUUCGAUGCGGACUCACCUGAGGGCGACAUGCUCGCAAAAAAGGAUGUUGCCAAUGAUUUGUUCGGGAAAUGUGAGAGCUGGAUAUCUUGUUAAUAUGAUGUCUUUGAUUCAAUGAAACUAUUUUGUUGUUCUUGUUCUAGAAUUCAAAUUCAUAAAACUUUUUAACAUUAGCUCAUGUUUUGCUGAUCUUCAGCAUUGUUGAAUCAACCACUGCCUUUAGUUUCGAAAUAACUAGAAGUGAAAUGUCAAAAAUACCAUGGCUCUGGUUAUAGCGAAAACCACAAUGUAAAUAAAGAUUCGGUCAUGGUUAGCCUAACCAUCUCAAUCGUA